CCAGACUCCUACGGGAGGCAGCAGUGGGGAAUAUUGCACAAUGGGGGAAACCCUGAUGCAGCGACGCCGCGUGAGUGAAGAAGUAUUUCGGUAUGUAAAGCUCUAUCAGCAGGGAAGAAAAUGACGGUACCUGAUUAAGAAGCCCCGGCUAACUACGCGCCAGCAGCCGCGGUAAUACGUAGGGGGCAAGCGUUAUCCGGAUUUACUGGGUGUAAAGGGAGCGUAGACGGCAGCGCAAGUCUGAAGUGAAAUGCCGGGGCUUAACCCCGGAACUGCUUUGGAAACUGUGGAGCUAGAGUGCAGGAGAGGUAAGCGGAAUUCCUGGUGUAGCGGGGAAAUGCGUAGAUAUCAGGAGGAACCCCCGUGGCGAAGGCGGCUUACUGGACUGUAACUGACGUUGAGGCUCGAAAGCGUGGGG
rnacentral:rRNA from 1 species